GGAAAAGGUAGUAAGAAAACAUAUUACAAUUGAAAUGAAUUAGGAAAGUAAAGCAAUCCCUAAUUCAACACCUCUCAUUGUUGGCUGCGGCUGCUCUUCUUCACCAUUGAUAAUGAUGAUUUCUUGUCAAUCUUGUCAUUGUUUCUUCAUCUUCAGCUGUCCACAGAGUUUGAUUAUUUGGAGAUGCUUCAAAAGACAAGGCAACGUGUGGGUUCGUGGCACCUGUUCGGCUGCCAGAUUGUUUCAGGUGGUUGAUUGUGACGUAUGCAGAAAUGCGCGGUACUGAUCUUGAAGACCUCCUCCCACUUCAUUCCGGGAUGGAGGUUGAGUCUUAGAAUAUAGUGAAAAUCGGAAUUCAUUUAGUCGCUCUUGUACUAGUCUAGACCAGGUCAUGGGAAGUUGGAUCGAGUCUGUAAUCAUUCAUUUGUUGUAAUCUCUUAACUACUUGAGUUUAUUGAAAAUAUUAUGAUGUUCCACUAUUA